rnacentral:rRNA from 1 species
AAAACAUCGCCUCUUGCAAAACUAACAAAUAAGAGGUCCCGCCUGCCCUGUGACUAUAUGUUUAACGGCCGCGGUAUUUUGACCGUGCAAAGGUAGCGCAAUCACUUGUCUUUUAAAUGGAGACCCGUAUGAAUGGCAUAACGAGGGCUUAACUGUCUCCUCUUUCAAGUCAAUGAAAUUGAUCUCCCCGUGCAGAAGCGGGGAUAAGCACAUAAGACGAGAAGACCCUGUGGAGCUUUAGGCACUAAGGCAGAAUAUGUUAAGUACCCCAGCUUAAUGACUAAAACAACUUACACCCUGCCCUAAUGCCUUCGGUUGGGGCGACCGCGGGGAAAUAAAAAACCCCCAUGCAGAUAUGGGAGAACAUCUCCUACAACUAAGAGCUCCCGCUCUAAUCAACAGAACCUCUGACUUUAUAAGAUCCGGCAAUGCCGAUCAACGGACCAAGUUACCCCAGGGAUAACAGCGCAAUCCCCUUUUAGAGCCCAUAUCGACAAGGGGGUUUACGACCUCGAUGUUGGAUCAGGACAUCCUAAUGGUGCAGCCGCUAUUAAGGGUUCGUUUGUUCAACGAUUAAAGUCCUACGUGAUCUGAG